UACGGAGGGGGCGAGCGUUAUUCGGAAUUACUGGGCGUAAAGGGCUCGUAGGCGGCCAACUAAGUCAGACGUGAAAUCCCUCGGCUUAACCGGGGAACUGCGUCUGAUACUGGAUGGCUAGAGGUUGGGAGAGGGAUGCGGAAUUCCAGGUGUAGCGGUGAAAUGCGUAGAUAUCUGGAGGAACACCGGUGGCGAAGGCGGCAUCCUGGACCAAUUCUGACGCUGAGGAGCGAAAGCCAGGGGAGCAAACGGG
rnacentral:rRNA from 1 species